rnacentral:rRNA from 1 species
GACGAACGCUGGCGGCGUGCUUAACACAUGCAAGUCGAGCGGUAAGGCCCUUUCGGGGGUACGACGAGCGGCGAACGGGUGAGUAACACGUGGGUGACCUGCCCUCAGCUCUGGGAUAAGCCUGGGAAACUGGGUCUAAUACUGGAUAUGACUCCACGGUGCAUGUCGUGGGGUGGAAAGCCUUGUGCGGCUGAGGAUGGGCCCGCGGCCUAUCAGCUUGUUGGUGGGGUGAGGCCUACCAAGGCGACGACGGGUAGCCGGCCUGAGAGGGCGACCGGCCACACUGGGACUGAGACACGGCCCAGACUCCUACGGGAGGGCAGCAGUGGGGAAGUCUUGCGCAAUGGGCGAAAGCCUGACGCAGCGACGCCGCGUGAGGGAUGACGGCCUCGG